rnacentral:rRNA from 1 species
AGUGAACGCUGGCGGUAGGCCUAACACACGCAAGUCGAACGGCAGCACAGUAAGAGCUUGCUCUUACGGGUGGCGAGUGGCGGACGGGUGGGGAAUACAUCGGAAUCUACUUUUUCGUGGGGGAUAACGUAGGGAAACUUACGCUAAUACAGCAUACGACAUACGUGAGUAAUCAGUGGAUCUUCGUACCUUGCUCGAUUGAAUGAGCCGAUGUCGGAUUAGCUAGUUGACGGGGUAAUGGCCCACCAAGGCGACGAUCCGUAGCGGGUCUGAGAGGAUGAUCAGCCACACUGGAACUGAGACACGGUCCAGACUCCUACGGGAGGCAGCAGUGGGGAAUAUUGGACAAUGGGCGCAAGCCUGCUCCAGCCAUACCGCGUGGGUGAAGAAGGCCUUCGGGUUGUAAAGCCCUUUUGUUGGGAAAGAAAAGCAGCAGGUUAAUACCCCGCUGUUCUGACGGUACCCAAAGAAUAAGCACCGGCUAACUUCGUG